AGAGUUUGAUCCUGGCUCAGGAUUAACGCUGGCGGCGCGCCUAACACAUGCAAGUCGUACGGGACGUAACAUUUGCUUCGCAAAUUGUACGUUCAGUGGCGAACGGCUGAGUAACGCGUGGAUAAUCUACCCCCGCCACGGCAAUAAUCCGCCGAAAGGCGGACUAAUAGCCGAUGGUCUCCGACGGUGUAAACCCAUCGGAGUAAAGGUCUUCCGCAAGGAAUGCCGGGCAGGGAAGAAUCUGCGUCCUAUCAGCUUGUUGGUGAGGUAACGGCUCACCAAGGCGAUGACGGGUAGCUGGUCUGAGAGGAUGAUCAGCCAGAAGGGAACUGCGACACGGUCCCUACUCCUACGGGAGGCAGCAGUGAGGAAUCUUGCGCAAUGGGCGAAAGCCUGACGCAGCGACGCCGCGUGGAGGAAGAAGCCCCUCGGGGUGUAAACUCCUUUUAUCGCCGAUGAAAUCUGACAUUAAGCGAUGAAUAAGGGCCUGCUAACUACGUGCCAGCAGCAGCGGUAAUACGUAGGGCCCGAGCGUUAUCCGGAUUUACUGGGCAUAAAGAGUGCGUAGGUGGUUUUUUAAGUUGUCAAUUAAAUUCCGAGGCUUAACCUCGGAAAGUUUGACAAUACUAGAAAACUUGAGACCAGAAGGGGCAGGUAGAAUUUUCGGUGUAGGAGUGAAAUCCGUUGAUAUCGAAAAGAAUACCAAUGGCGAAGGCAGCCUGCCAGUCUGGUUCUGACACUGAGGCACGAAAGCGUGGGGAGCGAACGGGAUUAGAUACCCUGGUAGUCC
rnacentral:rRNA from 1 species